CGAGGAGCCUGUCGUUCUUUUGCUUCCGCGCCGUCUCCGUUUCUGGGUGUUUGUCCUCAUGCGUCCUCCGCAUCAGAUGUCGUCCCGCCCCGGGAACUUACUGCUCUGUGGGAUUGGCGCGAUCAGAGGGCGCAGAAUGGAUCUUGGCCGCGAGGAUCGUGCCUGGGCCGCCAGGGGAACUCUAUGUAGACAUCUAGAACCUUGCGCGUCUUCACCGCUGGUGUAAGCAUUUGUUCCCCGGCCUAUUGCAGGAGACGCAUGCUCUGAUGAUCCUCUGUUUGCUAGCGGAACUUGGAAACGUAGCUAGUUUUUGUGAAGCCCAGUUUUAGGUACUAGGUGUUAAAGCGUUCUGGAUGCUUCACUUUAUUGCAAUUCUCAGAAAUGGACUCAUUAGACUUAAUGUUGCUGAUGAAGAAAAAAGCUUUAAGAGACAUAAUUGCCUGAAGUGGAAUAAUCUCUUUAAGGGUUUACGGAUGGCAGAAAGCAAACUUUGAGUGGACCAGGAUGAAUCCAUGAGUAGCAAAGGAUUGGUCGGAAGCCCUGUGUGCUACUCGGCAGCAAGUAGGUUGAUUGUAGCCUGCUCGUCCGCUUGGCUUGGUUCAGUCGGUCCUGUAACAGGAGUUUCUUGCCGGUGGAGUUGGAAUACAAGGCCUCUAGAAAAAGAUUGACACCCUGUAUUUUCCUGAAAAAGCACAAUACAACUUAGUAGCCUUCCUCU